GGGGUUUAGGGUUUAAGCCUUUAAGGUCUCCCUGCAGGAGGAUUGUGAUCUUCUUUGGAACUCAAUUACAAUCGAGCUACAUGAACACUGAAUUAGCUUCUACCUGUAGAAAUUGACCGGAUAUCCCCGGCGGUAUCUCCAUUUAAGGACCUCACACAUCCUCCCCAUCAGAACAAAACAAAAGAAAGAGAGGAGAAAGACAGUAGGAAUGUUGUAUAUUAUAGGACUGGGAUUGGGAGAUGAGAAAGACAUCACCCUCAGAGGCCUUGAAGCUGUUCAGAAGUCCCAAAAAGUAUUCAUUGAAGCUUAUACCUCUCUCCUCUCCUUUGGUAUCUCCUCCGAUGGCCUUUCUACUCUGAAAGAAAUGUACAAUCUUUUGCAGGAAAAGCUCUACGGCAAAUCAAUUACGGUAGCGGAUAGGGAAAUGGUCGAGGAAAAGGCAGACGAUAUACUCUUGGAAGCUACAUCGUCCGAUGUUGCUUUUCUCGUUGUUGGAGACCCUUUUGGAGCUACUACGCACACAGAUCUCGUUGUUAGAGCAAAAAAAUUGGGUGUGGAUGUUAAGGUUGUGCAUAAUGCGUCAGUAAUGAAUGCAAUUGGAGUUUGUGGUUUACAACUCUACCGAUAUGGAGAGACGGUUUCCCUUCCAUUUUUCACUGAUACUUGGAGGCCUGAUAGUUUUUAUGAGAAGAUUCAAAGAAAUAGAAAGCUGGGAUUGCAUACUCUUUGCUUGUUAGACAUACGAGUAAAGGAGCCCUCCUUGGAGUCUUUGUGCAGUUACAGAGGGAAAAAGCAAUAUGAGCCUCCAAGGUUUAUGGCAGUAAGUGUUGCAAUUGAGCAGCUCUUGGAGGUUGAACAAAUGCGUGGAGAAAAUGGUAGGUAUACGGGUACAAUUGCAUUGCUUUUCAGUUGUUGUGGCUCCUGAGAUCUUUCCAUCAAAAAAUUUUCAACUAGCUAUAUACCUUUUAGCUUGAUCUGCACAGAUCUUAUUCCAUCUAAAAUGUACUUCGCCAUGAAGUAGUUAUCCUUUUUGGUUGUGUCGUCUGGUGUUAAUUCCCUGUUCGUGGAAACAUUUCAGCUUUGAUUAACUUGCGCUACUAACGUGUUGUUUUCACUACCCAUGUUUUGUGGGCCUAUCAUGAUGAGCUCCAAUGUUCCUACAUGCAACAUCAUUAGAGAACAUACACUGAAGACACUACUUGCGUUGGCUUUGCUCGACUUGGUAGUGAAGAUCAGUUGGUGGUUGCCGGUUCGAUGAAACAAUUGUUAGAGGUGGACUUUGGUCUCCCACUGCAUUGCCUCGUGAUAGUCGGUGACACUCACCCCGUGGAAGAAGAAAUGCUGGAUUUCUAUAAGCUAGCCAAAAAUCAGGGCCAAGCCUGAAUAUUUUAAUUGUACAUC